rnacentral:rRNA from 1 species
GCCAGCAGCAAUAUCACCAUGCAGCUGUCAACUGGCUACUCACUGAAACUAAGCUGGGUUGAGCCUGGUCAGUACCUGGAGGAUCUGGGAGACCUCCUGGAAAGCUAUGGUUGCUGCUGGAA